rnacentral:rRNA from 1 species
AUGCCCCCAACUCUUGAACAGCUCUCACUUGCCUUCGGAAUGGAUCGGUUAAACAUUCUAUUAGGGAGCCCGGUCUUGACUCUUCUGUGUGGUAUUCAUUCUCGUUCGGCUCUUGGAAUCACAUCCAGCAGUGGUUGGAACAGCUCGCAAAAUCCAACCACUUCACCUACUUUAUUGCCCCCAACCGUUUCCCGUACCUCUAUAGAAACAGAAGGGUUUCAUGUUCUUUCAUCGAUUGGGUAUUCCUCUCCUUUUGUAUCUCUUUAUCCAAUUUCGGUCUCGAUUAGUUCACAAGAUUGA